GUGCUCGAUUGGCAGCACAUAUAUUAAAACUGGCUAGAUACAGAGAAGUUAGCAUGAUCCCUACACAAGGAUAACUCACAACUUAGUGAAGCAUUCCAUAUUUUA